UACGUAGGGCGCAAGCGUUGUCCGGAAUUAUUGGGCGUAAAGAGCUCGUAGGCGGCUUGUCACGUCGGGUGUGAAAGCCCGGGGCUUAACCCCGGGUCUGCAUUCGAUACGGGCUAGCUAGAGUGUGGUAGGGGAGAUCGGAAUUCCUGGUGUAGCGGUGAAAUGCGCAGAUAUCAGGAGGAACACCGGUGGCGAAGGCGGAUCUCUGGGCCAUUACUGACGCUGAGGAGCGAAAGCAUGGGGAGCGAACGGG
rnacentral:rRNA from 1 species